rnacentral:tRNA from 1 species
GAGUCCCUUCUUUCUAG